rnacentral:rRNA from 1 species
GUCCACGCCCUAAACGAUGGACACUAAGUGUAGCCGGCGAAGGCCGGCUGUGCCGCAGCUAACGCAGUAAGUGUCCCGCCUGGGGAGUACGGCCGCAAGGUUGAAACUCAAAGGAAUUGACGGGGCCCGCACAAGCGGUGGAGCAUGUGGUUCAAUUCGACGCAACGCGAAGAACCUUACCUGGGCUAGAACUCACCAGAAUCCUGCGGAAAACGUGGGAGUGCUCGCAAGAGAGCUGGUGGUGAGGUGCUGCAUGGCUGUCGU